AGCGAACGCUGGCGGCAGGCCUAACACAUGCAAGUCGAGCGGCCGUAGCAAUACGGCAGCGGCAGACGGGAGAGUAACACGUGGGAACGCGCCCUUCGGUCUGGAAUAACCCAGGGAAACUUGGGCUAAUACCGGAUACGCCCUUACGGGGAAAGAUUUAUUGCCGAAGGAACGGCCCGCGUCCGAUUAGCUAGUUGGUGAGGUAACGGCUCACCAAGGCGACGAUCGGUAGCUGGUCUGAGAGGAUGACCAGCCUCACUGGGACUGAGACACGGCCCAGACUCCUACGGGAGGCAGCAGUGGGGAAUAUUGGACAAUGGGCGCAAGCCUGAUCCAGCCAUGCCGCGUGGGUGAUGAAGGCCCUAGGGUUGUAAAGCCCUUUCAGCGGGGAAGAUAAUGACGGUACCCGCAGAAGAAGCCCCGGCUAACUUCGUGCCAGCCGCCGCGGUAACAC
rnacentral:rRNA from 1 species